UACGUAGGGUGCGAGCGUUGUCCGGAAUUAUUGGGCGUAAAGGGCUCGUAGGCGGUUUGUCGCGUCGGGAGUGAAAACCCAGGGCUUAACCCUGGGCUGGCUUCCGAUACGGGCAGACUAGAGGUAUGCAGGGGAGAACGGAAUUCCUGGUGUAGCGGUGAAAUGGCGCAGAGUAUCAGGAGGAACACCGGUGGCGAAGGCGGUUCUCUGGGCAUUACCUGACGCUGAGGAGCGAAAGUGUGGGGAGCGAACAGG
rnacentral:rRNA from 1 species